rnacentral:rRNA from 1 species
UACAGAGGGGGCAAGCGUUGUUCGGAAUUACUGGGCGUAAAGGGCGCGUAGGCGGCCCGCUAAGUCGAACGUGAAAUCCCCGAGCUCAACUCGGGAACUGCGUCCGAUACUGGUGGGCUUGAAUCCGGGAGAGGGAUGCGGAAUUCCAGGUGUAGCGGUGAAAUGCGUAGAUAUCGGGAGGAACACCGGUGGCGAAGGCGGCGACCUGGGUAGAUACUGACGCUGAGGAGCGAAAGCGUGGGGAGCGAACAGG